CUUGGACUAAUGUCUCCAGCUCCACUCCUUUAACAAGCAAGCCGUUACAAGUUCACUAACUUCCUUUAUGAAGAUUCCUGGUAUUCCAGCUGGAAUCAGACAGGACUGUGCAGUUUUUCCUGCUAAUAAGGAACGCCAGGAAUCAGUUUUAUCCCACUCAGAGUCCACAAACCCCAGAGUUUUUAAUUAUAGAGAAAAUCCAGAGCAGCAAGAAGAGAAUGUGAUGUAAGUGUCGAGUGUGUUAGAUCCCUGACGAAGCUUCAGCGUUCUCAUUAGAGUUCUUUCAAUGGAAAGCCAAUGUAUCCCAUUGAUCCCAUUUCAGCCAUUACUGGGGUGUGUUUGGCAGAUCAUUACAAACAUUUACUACAGGCACAGGCAAGAGAAUGAAAGAGUCACAGGAGUAAAAUGAAAGCAAUCAAUCUACCCCUCCAACACAGAAAAUAGAUGGCAAAAUAAAACUAAUCAAAAACAGUGCACUAUAAAGGGAAUAGGGUGCCAUUUGUAUUUCUCAUUCACUCAGACCAGACAGGCGUCAGAGGAAUGAUAUUUGGCAGU